rnacentral:lncRNA from 7 species
GGAUGAAAAUGUCAGUGAUAACAGCUGGUGGAAGUUCUCUUUUCCUUUAAACUUAGAAACUUGUUUUUGUUGUUGUUGUUGUUGUUGUUUGUUUGUUUGUUUGUUUGUUUGUUUGUUUGAAGCUUAUAGUCACUAGUUUUAUGUCUUUGUACUGUGAUGAGACAAGUAAUUAUGUGCAACAUGCAGUCGCAGUCAUAUUCUUUUGGUUCUAGGAAAGUUUAACUGAGGAUUGUGACUUGGGUCUGUGACACCAACGUCUAGUUAUAAUGUGUUCUUAGAUGCAGCUAUAGUACUACCUCUCUUUCCCAAGCCCAAACAUUACUUUGUCUGCAAACGAUAAGACAUACUACUUGCAGUUUAAAUUGCUAAGUUCCAUGCUAGGUGAAGGUUUACAUCUCAAAUUAUUGAUAUAACAAAAUCUAUGUCCUUUUCUAUCAAGUCACUUCUGUUGGAUGUGAAGGAAUAGGAAAUAAGAGAAAAUACUCUGAUUCGAGUAGGUAAAAAUUGUGCUUCAUAUCUCAGAACGCUAGAGGGAGCAAGAAGGUAAAGUUCUUGAAAGAGGAGCUGCUUCCUUGGAGGCUGAAUCCCCUAAGUCUGCCGUACCAGGCUAAUGCUAGUGGACUGACUGUGAGGGAAACAGAAGUCCUUGUUUCUCCUCAUCAGAUGCCCCUUUAGGCAAAUGUUAACCUGCCAAGAGCAUCCAACGAGAAUUUGCAAAUGAACUACUUGUUACCCAUGAAGAAUUAUUUUCUGACCUAAAUCUAUCUGCACUACGAAAAAAAUAAGAAAUGAAUUGACCCUGUGCCUAUGAACAGAUGUUUUAUCUAAGUGGAUUAGCUCGCUUGCAUGUUCUUCCAGGUAAAUAACAAUCUGCUGGUAGCCUUGGAAAGUGAAAGACAUUUGGGGAAACGUUCUCAUCUCAAUGUGUUGGAUGUUACAGGCUAACUCCUGCUGGGAUUUGUGAACAAGAUUGCCAGUGCAAUGAAUUGUAAAUGCAACUCUACCAGUGCUGAAAAAGCCUGUUUUUCAUGUGGCACCACAGCCAUCAUGACAGUGAAUAAAUUUAACUCCUCUCUUCCCUGUUCUCCUCUACAGUUUUAGAAGUCUUAAAGACAAGUUUGGAGAUGCAGUUGAUGCUCCGUGUAGGAGGUUUGCCAACUGACAUACAGUUUGAGGGGACUGUGGGGUUACACCUACUCCUAAAACCUACAGGGGUUCUCAGAACCCUUGCAGAAUCACAGAAUCAUAGGGCUUGGAAUGGACCUCUGAAGAUCAUCUAGUCCAAUCCCUUGGACUAGAUAUGGAACUUCCUUUGUUCCACCUCAGGACUUCCAAAAUGACUGUUUGCUCUGCCCUUUCAAUACUUCAGCAAAGCAGAGCAACAUUAGGACUGUCAGGAAUGCCAGUUCACAUCCUACAGGCCUGAUGAUGGCAUGGAAGCCACUGUGCAACAAGACACAGAACCCUCUUUAAUAGUUUUCCAUUGCAGACAGUAUUUGUGACCUAAAUAUCUGUACACUUACUGUGGUUCUUUUGUAACGUUUUCUGUCUUGCAAUUAUUUUUUCUCUUGAUUUUUUUAAAAUCACACUUUAUAUAAAUUUGAGUUUAUUUCUUGACU